CCUAAUGUCAAAAUUUAGAGUAGAAUGCUCCAAAAUAUGGGUAGUUAAUUUUCUUCCUCAAUACAAGGUGGGAUGUAAUUGUCCUAUUACACCAUUCUACAAACUAAUGGAAGCCUUUUUUUCCCCCAACUGGCACAUGAAUGAGUAAUCUAACAACGCAUUUAAUUGAAGCAAUAUCAGAACCCAAUCAUUGAAACCAUACUACUCUCCAGUAACUUCAGAGAUAACUUUUUUGCUAUAAGAGUUACAAAAUUAACCAUCACCACCCACGAUUGAGCAAGAAUUUUAAUAUUUCAUCCCUUGGCGACAAAAUCAGACAUUUUCUUGAACACAAAGCACAACAAGGUAGAAGAUUCUGAAUGUUCGCUACACCAUCAAGCCAAAAACAAGUGACCAAAACCUUAUAAUCAGUGGCGAAUCCAAGAGUUUGAGUUAACACAGGCGAUCGUUGACCAUCUACCGUUGGCCGCCAUAAAAUAUUAAAAGUCCUUUUGGUAUCCAUUUUUUUUUUCAAAAAAUGUAUUUUGGAAUGGUGACUUGAUGGAAAACGUCUAAACGUGUGACUAAAAAUAAAGAAAAAUUUUAAAUUUAUGUGUAAUAUUAUUUUAUUAAAAAAUAUAUUGAUGAAAAGAAGAAAGAAAAAUGUAGUUUUAAAAAAAGGGGAAUCAAACAAGGCCUAAAGUAUAAAUAUAACAAUUAUUUUGUUCAAAAUGAAUAUAUAUAAUUCUGUUAUAAGAAUAAAUAGAACUUAUCAAAUAACAUUGUUGCCAAGUUUUGUAUAAUUUAAAGGAAGAGUGUGAAUUCAAAUAUUUAAAAUUGUUUGCAUUAAAACAAUCAAAAUCUAACAAAUAUCAUUUUGUUAAAUUUAGUAAUACAAUUCAAGAGGUACCAUAAUGAUUAAGUUUACCAUAACCCUUGUUUGAGAUCAUGGGUUCAAAUCCCCAUUAUCCCCCCCUUAUUGAAUUUUGGUAAAAAUUAUAGAAUAAAAAUAAUACAUAACAAAUCCAUUGACAAAUAUUCGAAACUAAGACUUAAAAUAUAUUAAAAUUGGCUCUCACCAAGUAAGCUACAAGGAUAUUUAAAAAUAAAAUCAAUUACCAACAAUAUAAGGUAAAAAUUUAAUCUAUUACUAACAAAAAAAUAUAUAUCCUGGUGGAUCCAGCUAGGGCGGCCAACUAUUCGCCACUACUUAUAAUCUAAAAAGUGGCCGUCCUAGCUGGUCACCAUCUGGAUCCGCCACUACUUAUAAUCUAGAAAAGCUAUCUUCCUUCAUCCUUUGGAAUUUUAUACGAAGUAGAAAAAUACAGAAUAUGAGCUUUUAUUUUGGAAGGUUAAAGAAGUUUCACUUUCUACAAGUGAAAUUAUUGAAAUAUAUACUAGAAAAUAAGAAAUCAAGGAAAGUUUGAUUUAUUCUCCUUGACGUAGUUAAUCAAAACAAAUUUUAAAUCAUUGAUCAUAGUUAUAAUCAAAUUUCAACCCAAGAAAUUCACUAUAAACCUAAUCAACCAAUUCUCCGCUACUAAAAAUUGAAAAAUUCAUCAAAAUUUCCAAUAAAAGUAAACAAACUCAACUUCAAGUGACAUGAUUUCAUCAUCAAUUCGUCAAGUACGAAAAAAUGAAUUACAUCUGAAUUGAUUAUUCAAUUCCUCAACCAAAGGUCAUCAAGUAGAGUUGAAUAAAAAAACAUGAGGAAGAGAAACAAAACUAGCAAAAAUAAAGAAAAUUACACAAGUUGAAAAUUUAAGCAACUCAAAAAUCGAAUUAAUCAAUAAAUCAAUCAAUCCGAGUAUAAUAAUAGGGGAAUUACCUGAGAAUCUGAGAAUCUAUGCUCACAAAUUUACUCUUUCCAGGCACAAACAAACCUUAGUGCACAAGCUUGUCCCCCGCAGAGACAAAGAAAACACCAAAAACUUGGGGAGGGAGAGAGAGAGAAUCGUGUAAUGACGUGAGCACAUUAACUUUCAAAAAUAAGAAAGAAAUGGAAAAAUGAUUAUUGCAAAAAUGAUUUUGUCUAGUACACAACGAGAUUUA
rnacentral:lncRNA from 1 species